rnacentral:rRNA from 1 species
GCUUAUCACCAUUCCAGAUUGAAUAUACCCGAUCUCGUCUGAUCUCGGAAGUCAAGCAAUCUCGGGCUUGGUUAGUACUUGGAUGGGUGGCCGCUUGGGAAUACC